UAGGGAAUCUUCCGCAAUGGGCGAAAGCUUGACGGAGCAACGCCGCGUGAGUGAUGAAGGUCUUCGGAUAGUAAAACUCUGUUAUUAGGGAAGAACAAAUGUGUAAGUAACUAUGCACGUCUUGACGGUACCUAAUCAGAAAGCCACGGCUAACUACGUGCCAGCAGCCGCGGUAAUACGUAGGUGGCAAGCGUUAUCCGGAAUUAUUGGGCGUAAAGCGCGCGUAGGCGGUUUUUUAAGUCUGAUGUGAAAGCCCACGGCUCAACCGUGGAGGGUCAUUGGAAACUGGAAAACUUGAGUGCAGAAGAGGAAAGUGGAAUUCCAUGUGUAGCGGUGAAAUGCGCAGAGAUAUGGAGGAACACCAGUGGCGAAGGCGACUUUCUGGUCUGUAACUGACGCUGAUGUGCGAAAGCGUGGGGAUCAAACAGG
rnacentral:rRNA from 1 species